rnacentral:rRNA from 1 species
UACGUAGGGGUGCAAGCGUUUAAUCGGAAUACUGGGCGUAAAGCGUGCGCAGGCGGUUUUGCAAGACAGAUGUGAAAUCCCCGGGCUUAACCUGGGAACUGCAUUUGUGACUGCAAGGCUAGAGUGUGUCAGAGGGAGGUAGAAUUCCACGUGUAGCAGUGAAAUGCGUUAGAGAUGUGGAGGAACACCCGAUGGCGAAGGCAGCCCCCCUGGGUCAAGAUUGACGCUCAUGCACGAAAGCGUGGGGAGCAAACAGG